GUACACAAAAAUGCACAUAUUGUGAGCUCGAUGAGUAGGGCGGGACACGUGGUAUCCUGUCUGAAUAUGGGGGGACCAUCCUCCAAGGCUAAAUACUCCUGACUGACCGAUAGUGAACCAGUACCGUGAGGGAAAGGCGAAAAGAACCCCGGCGAGGGGAGUGAAAAAGAACCUGAAACCGUGUACGUACAAGCAGUGGGAGCCUCUUUAUGGGGUGACUGCGUACCUUUUGUAUAAUGGGUCAGCGACUUAUAUUCUGUAGCAAGGUUAACCGAAUAGGGGAGCCGAAGGGAAACCGAGUCUUAACUGGGCGUUAAGUUGCAGGGUAUAGACCCGAAACCCGGUGAUCUAGCCAUGGGCAGGUUGAAGGUUGGGUAACACUAACUGGAGGACCGAACCGACUAAUGUUGAAAAAUUAGCGGAUGACUUGUGGCUGGGGGUGAAAGGCCAAUCAAACCGGGAGAUAGCUGGUUCUCCCCGAAAGCUAUUUAGGUAGCGCCUCGUGAAUUCAUCUCCGGGGGUAGAGCACUGUUUCGGCAAGGGGGUCAUCCCGACUUACCAACCCGAUGCAAACUGCGAAUACCGGAGAAUGUUAUCACGGGAGACACACGGCGGGUGCUAACGUCCGUCGUGAAGAGGGAAACAACCCAGACCGCCAGCUAAGGUCCCAAAGUCAUGGUUAAGUGGGAAACGAUGUGGGAAGGCCCAGACAGCCAGGAUGUUGGCUUAGAAGCAGCCAUCAUUUAAAGAAAGCGUAAUAGCUCACUGGUCGAGUCGGCCUGCGCGGAAGAUGUAACGGGGCUAAACCAUGCACCGAAGCUGCGGCAGCGACACUAUGUGUUGUUGGGUAGGGGAGCGUUCUGUAAGCCUGUGAAGGUGGCCUGUGAGGGUUGCUGGAGGUAUCAGAAGUGCGAAUGCUGACAUAAGUAACGAUAAAGCGGGUGAAAAGCCCGCUCGCCGGAAGACCAAGGGUUCCUGUCCAACGUUAAUCGGGGCAGGGUGAGUCGACCCCUAAGGCGAGGCCGAAAGGCGUAGUCGAUGGGAAACAGGUUAAUAUUCCUGUACUUGGUGUUACUGCGAAGGGGGGACGGAGAAGGCUAUGUUGGCCGGGCGACGGUUGUCCCGGUUUAAGCGUGUAGGCUGGUUUUCCAGGCAAAUCCGGAAAACCAAGGCUGAGGCGUGAUGACGAGGCACUACGGUGCUGAAGCGACAAAUGCCCUGCUUCCAGGAAAAGCCUCUAAGCAUCAGGUAACAUCAAAUCGUACCCCAAACCGACACAGGUGGUCAGGUAGAGAAUACCAAGGCGCUUGAGAGAACUCGGGUGAAGGAACUAGGCAAAAUGGUGCCGUAACUUCGGGAGAAGGCACGCUGAUAUGUAGGUGAAGCGACUUGCUCGUGGAGCUGAAAUCAGUCGAAGAUACCAGCUGGCUGCAACUGUUUAUUAAAAACACAGCACUGUGCAAACACGAAAGUGGACGUAUACGGUGUGACGCCUGCCCGGUGCCGGAAGGUUAAUUGAUGGGGUUAGCGGUAACGCGAAGCUCUUGAUCGAAGCCCCGGUAAACGGCGGCCGUAACUAUAACGGUCCUAAGGUAGCGAAAUUCCUUGUCGGGUAAGUUCCGACCUGCACGAAUGGCGUAAUGAUGGCCAGGCUGUCUCCACCCGAGACUCAGUGAAAUUGAACUCGCUGUGAAGAUGCAGUGUACCCGCGGCAAGACGGAAAGACCCCGUGAACCUUUACUAUAGCUUGACACUGAACAUUGAGCCUUGAUGUGUAGGAUAGGUGGGAGGCUUUGAAGUGUGGACGCCAGUCUGCAUGGAGCCGACCUUGAAAUACCACCCUUUAAUGUUUGAUGUUCUAACGUUGGCCCGUAAUCCGGGUUGCGGACAGUGUCUGGUGGGUAGUUUGACUGGGGCGGUCUCCUCCUAAAGAGUAACGGAGGAGCACGAAGGUUGGCUAAUCCUGGUCGGACAUCAGGAGGUUAGUGCAAUGGCAUAAGCCAGCUUGACUGCGAGCGUGACGGCGCGAGCAGGUGCGAAAGCAGGUCAUAGUGAUCCGGUGGUUCUGAAUGGAAGGGCCAUCGCUCAACGGAUAAAAGGUACUCCGGGGAUAACAGGCUGAUACCGCCCAAGAGUUCAUAUCGACGGCGGUGUUUGGCACCUCGAUGUCGGCUCAUCACAUCCUGGGGCUGAAGUAGGUCCCAAGGGUAUGGCUGUUCGCCAUUUAAAGUGGUACGCGAGCUGGGUUUAGAACGUCGUGAGACAGUUCGGUCCCUAUCUGCCGUGGGCGCUGGAGAACUGAGGGGGGCUGCUCCUAGUACGAGAGGACCGGAGUGGACGCAUCACUGGUGUUCGGGUUGUCAUGCCAAUGGCACUGCCCGGUAGCUAAAUGCGGAAGAGAUAAGUGCUGAAAGCAUCUAAGCACGAAACUUGCCCCGAGA
rnacentral:rRNA from 1 species